rnacentral:rRNA from 1 species
CAGAAGCCUGGAUUCGGGCUCGGCCCGAUCCUCCCACCCUUUGUGUACCUACCUCUGUUGCUUUGGCGGGCCGCGGUCCUCCGCGGCCGCCCCCCUCCCCGGGGGGGUGGCCAGCGCCCGCCAGAGGACCAUCAAACUCCAGUCAGUAAACGAUGCAGUCUGAAAAACAUUUAAUAAACUAAAACUUUCAACAACGGAUCUCUUGGUUCUGGCAUCGAUGAAGAACGCAGCGAAAUGCGAUAAGUAAUGUGAAUUGCAGAAUUCAGUGAAUCAUCGAAUCUUUGAACGCACAUUGCGCCCUUUGGUAUUCCGAAGGGCAUGCCUGUUCGAGCGUCAUUACAACCCUCAAGCUCUGCUUGGUAUUGGGCACCGUCCUUUGCGGGCGCGCCUCAAAGACCUCGGCGGUGGCGUCUUGCCUCAAGCGUAGUAGAACAUACAUCUCGCUUCGGAGCGCAGGGCGUCGCCCGCCGGACGAACCUUCUGAACUUUUCUCAAGGUUGACCUCGGAUCAGGUAGGGAUACCCGCUGAACUUAAGCAUAUCAAUAAGCCGGAGGAA